rnacentral:tRNA from 10 species
GGGGUCAUAGCUCAGUUGGUAGAGUGCUUGAAUGGCAUUCAAGAGGUCGAGGGUUCGAUUCCCUCUGGCUCCACCA